AUUCGAUGUAGAUAAAGACGACUUGAAAAUUUUGUACUACGUUCAGCCUUUGUCAAUGAUAGUUGUACCGUCUGCCGCGAAUGCUCGUUGGCACCCCUCGUACACACACCAAGUGUAUUUGCGUACCCCGAAAUAGCUUUGGAUCUCCCUGGGACGGUAUAAGAGAACGGAGGAGGAGAGCGACGAGAGAAGACGAGAGAAGAGGAGAGAACGGACGGUGUAUACCGCAAAACCAGUUCGUUGAAAUGAAACUUUAUAGUCCGCCCGCAGGCCAGGAGAGGCCUUACGUUGUCAAAACUCACAUACGUGAAGACUGAUCCACGUGGGCACCAGCUACAACAGAACUAAUGUUGAAGAGACCAGCGGGCGAUAUCAAUGAGACGAGUCACAGCGGGUGGUUACAUCGUGAGACUCUUCAGACUUCCCGGAGCGUUGCAAAGCUCGUUACAUCUCAUUACAUCCAACAAGUACAUAAAAACGCAUGAUACACGUAAUGAUCACUUGCCGCGUGAAUCAUAGUGACCGGAAUAUUCAGUUAUGUCCAAACAAUUUUUUGUCACAUAAUAUCAUGUAUUUUUGUAUAAGGAUUUUAUAUUGUUUAUAUAAUUAGAAA